rnacentral:rRNA from 1 species
CCCUUAGAUGUCCUGGGCCGCACGCGCGCUACACUGAACGGAUCAGCGCGUUUUCCCUUCCCGAGAGGGACGGGUAACCUGCUGAACCCCGUUCGUGGUAGGGAUCGGGGCUUGCAAUUAUUCCCCGUGAACCAGGAAUGCCCAGUAAGUGCAAGUCAUAAGCUUGCGUUGAUUACGUCCCUGCCCUUUGUACACACCGCCCGUUGCUCCUACCGAUUGAGUGAUCCGGUGAAUUAUCUGGAUUGCCUAUCAACCUCGAGUUGUUGGCGAGAAAUUUUGUGAACCUUAUCACUUAGAGGAAGGAGAAGUCGUAACA